rfam:Aedes albopictus isolate Foshan contig39241, whole genome shotgun sequence.
CAAACGGUCCUUUUAAGGACCAUCGAAAAUGAUUUUUUGCAAUUAU